UACGGAAGGCAGCAGUGGGGAAUAUUGCACAAUGGGCGAAAGCCUGAUGCAGCUAUGCCGCGUGUAUGAAGAAGGCCUUAGGGUUGUAAAGUACUUUCAUCGGGGAGGAAAAACAAAACUAAUAAUUUUAUUUCUUGACGUUACCCGAAAAAGAAGCACCGGCUAACUCCGUGCCAGCAGCCGCGGUAAUACGGAGGGUGCUAGCGUUAAUCAGAAUUACUGGGCGUAAAGAGCACGUAGGUGGUUUUUUUAAGUCAGAUGUGAAAUCCCUGGGCUUAACCUGGAACUGCAUUUUGAAACUGAAAUACUAGAGUAUCGUAGAGGGAGGUAGAAUUCUAGGUGUAGCGGUGAAAUGCGUAGAUAUCUGGAGGAAUACCUGUGGCGAAAGCGGCCUCCUAAACGAAUACUGACACUGAGGUGCGAAAGCGUGGGGAGCAAACGAGGGAUUAGGAUACC
rnacentral:rRNA from 1 species